rnacentral:rRNA from 1 species
AUUGAACGCUAGCGGGAUGCCUUACACAUGCAAGUCGAACGGAGUGGCGAACGGGUGAGUAAUGUAUCGGAACGUGCCCAGUAGCGGGGGAUAACUAAGCGAAAGCGUAGCUAAUACCGCAUACUAUUGGAGCGGCCGAUAUCGGAUUAGCUAGUGGGUGGGGUAACGGCUCACCAGGGCGCCGCUCCGUAGCCGGUUUGCGAGGACGACCAGCCACACUGGGACUGUGACACGGCCCAGACUCCUACGGGAGGCAGCAGGGGGGAAUUAUGGACAAUGGGGGAAACCCUGAUCCAGCCAUCCCGCGUGUGCGAGGAGGGCCUUCGGGUUGUAAGGCACUGUUGGCAGGGAAGCGGUACCUGCAGAAUAAGCACCGGCUAACUACGUGCCAGCAGCCGCGGUAAUAC